UACGUAGGGUGCAAGCGUUAAUCGGAAUUACUGGGCGUAAAGCGUGCGCAGGCGGCUUUGCAAGACAGAUGUGAAAUCCCCGGGCUCAACCUGGGAACUGCAUUUGUGACUGCAUCGCUGGAGUACGGCAGAGGGGGAUGGAAUUCCGCGUGUAGCAGUGAAAUGCGUAGAUAUGCGGAAGAACACCGAUGGCGAAGGCAAUCCCCUGGGCCUGUACUGACGCUCAUGCACGAAAGCGUGGGGAGCAAACAGG
rnacentral:rRNA from 1 species